UUUGGUGGGGUGAUCUGGUGAUCCUAUGCUGCCGAGAAAAGCAUCGGCGUGAGGUUGUGUGUUGCCCGUACCCUAUAACCGACACAGGUGGUCAGGUAGAGAAUACUAAGGUGAUCGAGAGAAUCGUGGUUAAGGAACUCGGCAAAAUGCCCCCGUAACUUCGGGAGAAGGGGGACCAUCCCGGUGAAACCAACUUGCUUGGUGAUGUGCUGGUGGUGGUCGCAGAGGCCAGAGAGAAGCGACUGUUUAUUAAAAACACAGGUCCGUGCGAAGAUGUAAGUCGAUGUAUACGGACUGACGCCUGCCCGGUGCUGGAAGGUUAAGAGGACUCGUUAACCCCGUUAGGGGUGAAGCGGAGAAUUUAAGCCCCAGUAAACGGCGGUGGUAACUAUAACCAUCCUAAGGUAGCGAAAUUCCUUGUCGGGUAAGUUCCGACCUGCACGAAUGGCGUAACGACUUCUCUGCUGUCUCAACCACGAACUCGGCGAAAUUGCAUUACGAGUAAAGAUGCUCGUUACGCGCAGCAGGACGGAAAGACCCCGAGACCUUCACUAUAGUUUGGUAUUGGGAUUCGGUGUGGUUUGUGUAGGAUAGGUGGGAGACUGUGAAGUCAUCACGCUAGUGGGGGUGGAGUCGUCAAGUGAAAUACCACUCUGACUAUACUGGAUUUCUUAACUUCGGACCCUGAUCGGGUUCAGGGACAGUGCCUGAUGGGUAGUUUAACUGGGGCGGUUGCCUCCUAAAGAGUAACGGAGGCGCCCAAAGGUUCCCUCAGCCUGGUUGGCAAUCAGGUGUCGAGUGUAAGUGCACAAGGGAGCUUGACUGUGAGACGGACGUGUCGAGCAGGAGCGAAAGCUGGGACUAGUGACCCGGCCAUGGCUUGUGGAAGCGUGGUCGCUCAACGGAUAAAAGGUACCUCGGGGAUAACAGGCUGAUCUUGCCCAAGAGUCCAUAUCGACGGCAUGGUUUGGCACCUCGAUGUCGGCUCGUCGCAUCCUGGGGCUGUAGUCGGUCCCAAGGGUUGGGCUGUUCGCCCAUUAAAGCGGUACGCGAGCUGGGUUUAGAACGUCGUGAGACAGUUCGGUCCCUAUCCGCUGCGUGCGUAGGAAAUUUGUGGAGGCCUGUCCUUAGUACGAGAGGACCGGGACGGACGAACCUCUGGUGUGCCAGUUGUACCGCCAGGUGCAUGGCUGGUUGGCUACGUUCGGGAAGGAUAACCGCUGAAAGCAUCUAAGCGGGAAGCCUGCUUCGAGAUGAGAUUUCCAACCCCACUUGUUGGGGGUGAGGUGUCCUAUAGAUUAUGGGUUUGAUAGGCCGGGUAUGGAAGCAUCGUGAGGUGUGGAGUUGACUGGUACUAAUACGCCGAUCACUCA
rnacentral:rRNA from 1 species